AAAUUGAAGAGUUUGAUCAUGGCUCAGAUUGAACGCUGGCGGCAGGCCUAACACAUGCAAGUCGAACGGUAACAGGAAUCAGCUUGCUGAUUCGCUGACGAGUGGCGGACGGGUGAGUAAUGUCUGGGAAACUGCCUGAUGGAGGGGGAUAACUACUGGAAACGGUAGCUAAUACCGCAUAACGUCGCAAGACCAAAGAGGGGGACCUUCGGGCCUCUUGCCAUCGGAUGUGCCCAGAUGGGAUUAGCUAGUAGGUGGGGUAACGGCUCACCUAGGCGACGAUCCCUAGCUGGUCUGAGAGGAUGACCAGCCACACUGGAACUGAGACACGGUCCAGACUCCUACGGGAGGCAGCAGUGGGGAAUAUUGCACAAUGGGCGCAAGCCUGAUGCAGCCAUGCCGCGUGUAUGAAGAAGGCCUUCGGGUUGUAAAGUACUUUCAGCGGGGAGGAAGGGAGUGAAGUUAAUACCUUUGCUCAUUGACGUUACCCGCAGAAGAAGCACCGGCUAACUCCGUGCCAGCAGCCGCGGUAAUACGGAGGGUGCAAGCGUUAAUCGGAAUUACUGGGCGUAAAGCGCACGCAGGCGGUUUGUUAAGUCAGAUGUGAAAUCCCCGGGCUCAACCUGGGAACUGCAUCUGAUACUGGCAAGCUUGAGUCUCGUAGAGGGGGGUAGAAUUCCAGGUGUAGCGGUGAAAUGCGUAGAGAUCUGGAGGAAUACCGGUGGCGAAGGCGGCCCCCUGGACGAAGACUGACGCUCAGGUGCGAAAGCGUGGGGAGCAAACAGGAUUAGAUACCCUGGUAGUCCACGCCGUAAACGAUGUCGACUUGGAGGUUGUGCCCUUGAGGCGUGGCUUCCGGAGCUAACGCGUUAAGUCGACCGCCUGGGGAGUACGGCCGCAAGGUUAAAACUCAAAUGAAUUGACGGGGGCCCGCACAAGCGGUGGAGCAUGUGGUUUAAUUCGAUGCAACGCGAAGAACCUUACCUGGUCUUGACAUCCACAGAACUUUCCAGAGAUGGAUUGGUGCCUUCGGGAACUGUGAGACAGGUGCUGCAUGGCUGUCGUCAGCUCGUGUUGUGAAAUGUUGGGUUAAGUCCCGCAACGAGCGCAACCCUUAUCCUUUGUUGCCAGCGGUCCGGCCGGGAACUCAAAGGAGACUGCCAGUGAUAAACUGGAGGAAGGUGGGGAUGACGUCAAGUCAUCAUGGCCCUUACGACCAGGGCUACACACGUGCUACAAUGGCGCAUACAAAGAGAAGCGACCUCGCGAGAGCAAGCGGACCUCAUAAAGUGCGUCGUAGUCCGGAUUGGAGUCUGCAACUCGACUCCAUGAAGUCGGAAUCGCUAGUAAUCGUGGAUCAGAAUGCCACGGUGAAUACGUUCCCGGGCCUUGUACACACCGCCCGUCACACCAUGGGAGUGGGUUGCAAAAGAAGUAGGUAGCUUAACCUUCGGGAGGGCGCUUACCACUUUGUGAUUCAUGACUGGGGUGAAGUCGUAACAAGGUAACCGUAGGGGAACCUGCGGUUGGAUCACCUCCUUACCUUAAAGAA
rnacentral:rRNA from 1 species